rnacentral:hammerhead_ribozyme from 1 species
GUACUAUUGAAGAGUCCCAACUAGGACGAAAUAGCUGUGCAGUAC